UGGGGGAUAACGCUCGGAAACGGACGCUAAUACCGCAUACGUCCUACGGGAGAAAGCAGGGGACCUUCGGGCCUUGCGCUAUCAGAUGAGCCUAGGUCGGAUUAGCUAGUUGGUGAGGUAAUGGCUCACCAAGGCGACGAUCCGUAACUGGUCUGAGAGGAUGAUCAGUCACACUGGAACUGAGACACGGUCCAGACUCCUACGGGAGGCAGCAGUGGGGAAUAUUGGACAAUGGGCGAAAGCCUGAUCCAGCCAUGCCGCGUGUGUGAAGAAGGUCUUCGGAUUGUAAAGCACUUUAAGUUGGGAGGAAGGGCAGUUACCUAAUACGUGAUUGUUUUGACGUUACCGACAGAAUAAGCACCGGCUAACUCUGUGCCAGCAGCCGCGGUAAUACAGAGGGUGCAAGCGUUAAUCGGAAUUACUGGGCGUAAAGCGCGCGUAGGUGGUUCGUUAAGUUGGAUGUGAAAUCCCCGGGCUCAACCUGGGAACUGCAUUCAAAACUGUCGAGCUAGAGUAUGGUAGAGGGUGGUGGAAUUUCCUGUGUAGCGGUGAAAUGCGUA
rnacentral:rRNA from 8 species